AAACUUUCUUUCAAAGGGAUUUGCAGGACAAUCAAAUUAACAUGUUUGUUCCUUUUUUUUUAGCUCCAUGUGCUCCAACUAACCUGGUAGUCAAAACUGAAUGUGGUGCUAACUUGGCAAUUCUAAACUGGGCUCCCAGUUUAUACGCCAUCUCCUACAGAGCUACCUUUACUGGAACCCAUAACCACACUGUUUCCUGUUCUACUAAUUCAACAACCUGCUCAGUAAAAGUCGACUGUGGACACCAGUACUCAGCAGUUGUGGUCGCUUCUACCGCAUCAUGCAGCAGCAGUUCUUCACCUUUAACUUUUAACUCAGGUAAGUGUUCAGCUUUUGUUUUUGCUUUGAUCAGAAAAAUCACCGACCAGAUUGUGGAAUGGAAACGUUUUCUGCCUCCAAAACAGCUCCCUGUCUGCCUGACCGCCUGCAAGCCGAGCUGAACUGCAGCACCAACAGCUUUUUCGUGCACUGGAGAGGGAGCGUCGGGAAUGUUGGUUUGUACACUGCCAUCGCCAUUGGCAGUGACGGCUCGCGUGUGAGCUGUAAUUCCACCAGUACUGAAUGCACCAUUCACAACGUGAAGUGUGGCCUCCUGUACAGCGUCGUUGUCACCAUGUCAUCUGUUGACUGUGCCGUCAUCCAGGGCUCAGACUACAAGAUCUAUUCAGCUCCUUGUAAACCAGACCAAGUGUCUGUGAGUUUGCAGUGCAGCACUAACGUGGCAUUGAUCACCUGGGAGCACUCAGGCCCUGACCAGACUCAGGAGGUCACAGCGACAGACAGUAGAGGACUCACAGCUACCUGCUACUCCAGCGGCUCCAACUGCACCUUCAACCAGCUGAGCUGUGGAAAGACGUAUGCCAUCAGUGUGGUAGGCCACACCAACUCAUGCAGCAGUGAGCCGGCUGUCGCCCAGGUGCUCCAAACAGGUACUCACACCUAGCAGGCAGAAUUUCUCUUUGCAUCUAGAAGUACAAAUACCCUUUCCAAUUACAGUUGGUGAGUUUAUGUUAAAAAAUGUCCUGAAUGUCACAAUGUAAUAGUUGGCAUGCAGAUUAGUAUUAAAAACUUGUAACAGACCUUCAAGAAGUAUACAGUACCUAGAAAU
rnacentral:lncRNA from 1 species